rnacentral:miRNA from 1 species
AUCACCUGGGGAUUGUGGAAAAGUGCUAAUUCUCAUUCAGUAGAUCUGGGUGAGGCCUGAGAUUCUGCAUUUCUAACAAGUUCCCAGGUGAUGUCCA